UACGUAGGUGGCAAGCGUUGUCCGGAAUUACUGGGCGUAAAGGGCGUGUAGGUGGUCAAACAAGUCAGAUGUGAAACUCCGGGGCUCAACCCCGGGCAUGCAUUUGAAACUGUAUGACUUGAGGGCAAGAGAGGAAAGUGGAAUUCCUAGUGUAGCGGUGAAAUGCGUAGAUAUUAGGAGGAACACCAGUGGCGAAGGCGACUUUCUGGAUUGACCCUGACACUGAGGCGCGAAAGCGUGGGGAGCAAACAGG
rnacentral:misc_RNA from 1 species